GACGAACGCUGGCGGCGUGCUUAACACAUGCAAGUCGAACGGAAAGGCCCUGCUUUGGUGGGGUGCUCGAGUGGCGAACGGGUGAGUAACACGUGAGUAACCUGCCCUUGACUUUGGGAUAACUUCAGGAAACUGGGGCUAAUACCGGAUAGGAGCUCCUGCUGAAUGGUGGGGGUUGGAAAGUUUCGGCGGUUGGGGAUGGACUCGCGGCUUAUCAGCUUGUUGGUGGGGUAGUGGCUUACCAAGGCUUUGACGGGUAGCCGGCCUGAGAGGGUGACCGGCCACAUUGGGACUGAGAUACGGCCCAGACUCCUACGGGAGGCAGCAGUGGGGAAUAUUGCACAAUGGGCGGAAGCCUGAUGCAGCAACGCCGCGUGCGGGAUGACGGCCUUCGGGUUGUAAACCGCUUUCGCCUGUGACGAAGCGUGAGUGACGGUAAUGGGUAAAGAAGCACCGGCUAACUACGUG
rnacentral:rRNA from 1 species